rnacentral:lncRNA from 1 species
CUGAACUUGAAUGUUACUGAAGUUUAGAAAUGCUACUUAUUUUUUCAUGUUUAAUUUUUGUGGGUGCAUAGCAGUUAUAUAUGUAUAUAUUCAUGAGGUUCAUAAGCUAUUUUGACACAGACAUAUAAUGCAUAUAUCAGGGUAAUAUUGGUCUCAUAGAGUGAGCUUGGAAGUAUUCUCUGCUCUACUUAUGGGAAUAGUUUGAGUAGAAUUGAUAUUAAUUCUCUUAAAUGUUUGAUGAAAUUCAGCAGUGAAGCCAUUGGGUCCUCAGCUUCUCUUUCCUGGGAGACUAUUAUUGCAGCUUUGAUGUUACUUGUCCACAGCCAAGUGACAGGUGAGCUGAGAUUCACCCUGAGUCUGGCUGGCUCCAAAACUGUGGUCAUCCCUAGCAUGCUGUCACUCCACCUUAUUUAAGACCUUCUUUGUUUUUACUGCGUGUCAGAGCCAGGACCAUGUUGGAACCGGAAGCCCACUUUGGUGGCACAACAGGGACACUUAAAGGGCUCCUUGCAAAGACUGAAAUUGCAAUCAGACAAUUGAAAAUUGGAAGAGCUGGGCUUUUCCUCCAUCUAGGAUUUAUUCUCAGUUGAUGUCUAGGAAUAAGAGGGCUGUCUUUUCUCUCAUCUUGGGCCAAGCUGGCUGGUAUCUUUGUAGGUUUGUCAAAUGCUGACAUGGGCUUUGCCUUUGAGUCCCAGCCCAAAAAAUCCCAGCUGUCCUUACAUGCUAACAAGACAACAUUUUUCUUGGAUCAUUUGUUCUCCAACCUGGGCCACCUCUGAGCCCAUUUCUGUCAAAGACUCUCCUUCCCCACAGGCCAACUCCUCUCCUACAAACUCUGAAAGGGCCUCUGAAGCCAACACUGUUUAC